CUGAAAUUCCCGUUUUCCAGGUAACGCGAAAGACUUUCCUGCGAACCGAGAUUUGUAUCAGGAUCAAAUGAGGUGCGAGGAGGUAGCAUGCCGUAGCGUGCUACCUCCUGGUAUGUCAUACGUUCCUACUGAAAUUCCCGUUUUCCAGGUAACGCGAAAGACUUUCCUGCGAACCGAGAUUUGUAUCAGGAUCAAAUGAAGUGCGAGGAGGUAGCAUGCCGUAGCGUGCUACCUCCUGGUAUGUCAUACGUUCCUACUGAAAUUCCCGUUUCCCAGGUAACGCGAAAGACUUUCCUGCGAACCGAGAUUUGUAUCAGGAUCAAAUGAGUUGCGAGGAGGUAGCAUGCCGAAGCGUGCUACCUCCUGGUAUGUCAUACGUUCCUACUGAAAUUCCC